rnacentral:rRNA from 1 species
GAUGAACGCUAGCGGCAGGCCUAACACAUGCAAGUCGAGGGGUAACAUUGUAGCUUGCUACAGAUGACGACCGGCGCACGGGUGCGCACCGCGUAUGGAACCUACCUUUCACAGGGGAAUAGCCCAUGGAAACGUGGAUUAAUGCCCCAUGGUACAUAUAGGUGGCCUCACCUAUAUGUUAA